AACGAACGCUGGCGGCAUGCCUAACACAUGCAAGUCGAACGAGACCUUCGGGUCUAGUGGCGCACGGGUGCGUAACGCGUGGGAACCUGCCCUUAGGUUCGGAAUAACUCCCCGAAAGGGGUGCUAAUACCGGAUAAUGUCUUCGGACCAAAGAUUUAUCGCCUUUGGAUGGUCCCGCGUUGGAUUAGCUAGUUGGUAGGGUAAAAGCCUACCAAGGCGACGAUCCAUAGCUGGUCUGAGAGGAUGAUCAGCCACACUGGGACUGAGACACGGCCCAGACUCCUACGCGAGGCAGCAGUGGGGAAUAUUGGACAGUGGGCGAAAGCCUGAUGCAGCAAUGCCGCGUGAGUGAUGAAGGCCUGAGGGUUGUAAAGCUCUUUUAACCGGGAUGAUAAUGACAGUACCGGAAGAAUAAGCUCCGGCUAACUCCGUG
rnacentral:rRNA from 1 species